GACGAACGCUGGCGGCGUGCUUAACACAUGCAAGUCGAGCGGUAAGGCCCUUUCGGGGGUACACGAGCGGCGAACGGGUGAGUAACACGUGGGUGACCUGCCCUUAGCUCUGGGAUAAGCCUGGGAAACUGGGUCUAAUACCGGAUAUGACUCCAUGACGCAUGUUGUGGGGUGGAAAGCCUUGUGCGGCUAGGGAUGGGCCCACGGGCCUAUCAGCUUGUUGGUGGGGUGAUGGCCUACCAAGGCGACGACGGGUAGCCGGCCUGAGAGGGCGACCGGCCACACUGGGACUGAGACACGGCCCAGACUCCUACGGGAGGCAGCAGUGGGGAAUC
rnacentral:rRNA from 1 species